GAUGAAGAACGCAGCGAAAUGCGAUACGUAAUGUGAAUUGCAGAUUUCAGUGAAUCAUCGAGUCUUUGAACGCACAUUGCGCCCCCUGGUAUUCCGGGGGGCAUGCCUGUCCGAGCGUCAUUGCUGCCCUCAAGCACGGCUUGUGUGUUGGGCCUCCGUCCUCCUCCCGGGGGACGGGCCCGAAAGGCAGCGGCGGCACCGCGUCCGGUCCUCGAGCGUAUGGGGCUUCGUCACCCGCUCUUGUAGGCCCGGCCGGCGCUUGCCGACACAUCAAUCUUUUUUCCAGGUUGACCUCGGAUCAGGUAGGGAUACCCGCUGAACUUAAGCAUAUCAAUAAGCGGAGGA
rnacentral:misc_RNA from 1 species